GAAGGGAAAUUUGCAGUCUCCCGUCUUUGUGAAUAGAGUGUUUUUUUUCCAGGCCUUCCAGAUGACUGCACUGAUUGACAGGGCUGUUUUUGCCACUCUUGCGUAUCCCAGCUUCUUACAGGGUAGCUGAAACACAGAAACAAAAAAUACAGCCUGCAAAAGUGACAAACACAGAUUAAGUAACAAAGGAGUUUGAAAGAGCAGCCAAGGCAAGAAGCCGAUUAUCUGCUGUAGCAUGAAUUGUGAGGAGAAGCAGAGUCCCAUCACCCUACCACGAAUGGAGACCACAGUGACAAGAAGAAUAUCUGCAGUCCUCCUUUGCUGAUCAGGGAUAGCCCAACAGAGAAUGUGUUUCUGCUUUCAUAGACACAUCAGUCCUUGGAAAUGGGGAGCCUUGGUAACCCUUUUGCUUGGAAAUGGCUAGGAAAUGGAGCAGGACCUCACAACAUUCAGAUGCCACCCACGCUCCUGCCAGAAGUGCUGUCUCCCGAUCAUCCAGGACCAGUGUUGAUAAACACAGCUUUGAACUGUGAUUCAUUUUCCACCCACUGUUCAGACCUUCACCUGCCCUGAUUGUGCUUUUAUACCAAAAUCCAACACUCAGAUUAACUGUCCAUUAUGAGAUGCAUUGUGGUAAAUGCUACAGUUGACUGCAAUAGAUGGCACAUGUUUAGGAUUUUUUUUUUAUUAUUAUUAUUUUUUUCUGCUAAGAUCACAAGAGAAAAAGGAUGAGCAGAAAGAAUUUAAUAUUGGGUAUAAGGAGCGUGAGACACCAGUCACCUAGGAAGGUGACUUCCAUGGACUUCCCUUUCCUCUUAUUUUCAGAGUGCAAAAGACUUUCAAAAAGACUUCUCACAAACAAGCAAAACUUUAUAGACAUGUUUUAAAAAAGAGUUUGCUGAAAUCCCCUCCAGCACUUGUAGGGCUACGGGUUACAUGAGCAGAGCAAAAUAUCGUUGCUAGAAUCCAGAGAUUUUUCCUGGGUAAAAUCACACCCUAGAAAUCCCUGUAUG
rnacentral:lncRNA from 1 species